GUUUCAUGAUGAUCCCCAUGCGUGUCAUAUGAUCCCACAAUCCCAUCCAGCUCCUGGCCGCCCACUGGCGUUCUGUCAGGGGGUGUGUCCAGCACUGGAGGAUUCUGGGGCUGUGAUCAUACCCUACAGACUCUGAAAAC